rnacentral:rRNA from 1 species
UACGGAGAGUGCAAACGUUGUUCGGAUUCACUGGGCGUAAAGGGCACGUAGGCGGCUCGGCAAAUCGGUCGUGGAAUCCAGACGCUUACCGUCUGAACGGCGGCCGAAAAAUACCGGGCUCGAGGGCGUGAGGGGUCACUGGAACUCCUGGUGAAGCGGUGAAAUGCGUAGAUAUCAGGAGGAACGCCGGAGGCGAAAGCGAGUGACUGGCGCGUUCCUGACGCUGAGGUGCGAAAGCUAGGGGAGCAAACAGG